GUCGCACCUAUCGCUGCUCCCCUAAAGCUGCGAAAAGAGGUGACCAGAGAGAGCCUACUUGGAUUGUUUCGUGGAUCCCGUCCCGUGGAUCUGUUGGCGAUCCAACAUGGCGUUCGUUUUGUGCAGAAAAAAGUGUGUUCUCCGGUAGCCCAAUAGUAGGCAUGUCUGUUUUUCGGUAAAUAUUGCCUAGCAUGCUCAGGUGUGUGUCAGCGCAGCUGCAGGAUGUUACGUGGAACACGCGCGCGACCUCGAAAGGAAUCACCGCGUGGCUCGAAACGAAAGCGUUCUAUUGCGGUGCCUUCACUAUUAAUCAGCAUCAGCAUUUUCGGCCACGUUUUGGAAAUCCCGCAAACCGCUAAAUCGUCAUCGGCGUCGUCGUCGUCGCCGUCGUCGUCUAUCUGGAAAGUACGGAUCCUAUCGCAGCAGUCGCGCUCGGGAGUUUUACCACAUCACAGCACAGCAACUGAUCGUUGCUGGAUCGAAUGUGAAAAUAAAGAGAGCUAUCCGUCGACAGUAGGGAUAUAAUUCACUGUCAUGGAAUUGCUCUCUUUAUGUACAAUUCGAUAUUCACCGUAACGACAUUAAUCGGGAUGGUUUUUGGGGGCGGAGAGAAAAGUGUCAAACCAACUGGAACGCGAACACGUGAUCGUCGGAACGGCCGCAGCCGUAUGAGCGACACGUUGCCCGAGCGACGAAAGUGUUCAGAAAAGCCCCUACCCACAGCCCUUACCCCUUCACCGACUGCGAAGCCCGACAAUAGGUAUUUUUCAAACACGUGGAAAGUAGAAAGGGAAGGCGGAGGACGAUCGUUUUGGUCUCUUCGGUUUUUAUUGAACUUGUGGUGCGAGACUACGUGUGAUAACCACGGGUGCACACCUCGCAGAGGUAAGUGUUAAUAUGUGGUUGACACGAUUUGAUUACAGACACACUUUGAGGCACUUAAAACAUCAUUUAGUUUCCUUGCGCAACUGCGGAGUAACUCAUACUCGCGAUGAUUGUCUUUCUACCGUCUCUCUACGUUCGUCUCCGUCCCUUUCCUCUCCACGUCCAACGAACAAGCAGAUACAACACAUCGAUUGGGACACUUUGUGGUGUGCGUAGUGUUGGAGGCCAACUGUUCGAUACGUUAGCGGAGGAUACGUGGCGCAUUGUCGAGCGCUAUCACAUCUUAUCACCGCGCAGCAGCGGAUCCGUUGGCCAGCGGCAGACGCCACCACCACCUCCACGUCCUCGCCCCUUCCGACGAACAGUCGUGAUAGGCACAUUUUUGCUUAUUACUAGCAGUUUACGGAUAGAGCCGGUUCGGAAGAAAGAACCCUUUAUGCAAUGUGUAUUAGAAUGCGAUCGCGAAAAGAAUAAACAUUUAAAAAACCUUUGUUUAA